UAAGUAGGAACAUUUAGUACUUUUCCCACCACUGAAUUCCAUCAGUCCUCUGAGUGUUUCUGAUUUAUGCACCACUGAUGAACUGAAAAGUUGCCACAGAUUUUCUUUUUCCUUCAGACUUUUCAGACAUCACACAUGUACCACAAUAGAAUUACUGAAUUAUGAACAGAGAAAUGAUUAUUGUCUCUUGUCAACUACUAGAAAUGUGUCACUGAGCUGAACAAGGAUGGAGACUCCUGGAUUGGUCUACGGUUCACACAACGGACAGGAUGGGAAUGGAAAUGGGUGGAUGACUCACCGCUGACACUAAAGUUCUGGGCAACAGGACACUCGUACAACAACAAUUAUUAUGCUGCAGCAUUUUGCGAUAAACAAGGAAAAUGGACAACGAGCAGAUUUAAUGAUAAGAAGAACUGGAUCUGUGAGAAAGAGCUUUCCUGUUUUCCUUGAGGACAGAGGGGUCUGUCUCUGCAGAGAGGGAUAUUACAACAGCCUGUUUUCAAAAAGCCUAAGAUGUCACAUACAUGACAACAAGGGGAAAGACGGCUCCUUUCUGUUUCAGUGUUACUUGAGUCAUUAUCAUAAGGGACAAACCUCGUCAAUAGGCAGCAGGGAUUGUGCCUACAAAAUAAAAGCGUAAGAACAUUUUUGCAGCAGUAAUUUAUGUUGUGUUUAAUUGAGAGCUUUUACUUAGAAAAGUUCUGAAGGAAAUUCAAACACACCUCUGAAAAAGGCAUCUGGAAAGGUGAGAUUGCGGAUUCCCCCGAAUGAGAAAAGCAUGAAUUUCCUCUGCAUGGAGAUACUGGGAACAGAAAAAAUAAUCAUCCAUAGGUUGAAGUGGACCAUUCGCCGGGAUGUACAGACUCCUACACAUGCUUAAUUGUGAUCGCCUAUGUAAUAUGAUUUCCUCACAAUCUUGUUGAACUUGCAGCAAGUGAGAAUUGAACACCUAACACUCCAAAUGACAGUCCUGUGCGAUACAAACUGAGCUAAUCGCACACACAGUAAGCUAAAUAUUAGAAUAUAAAUGGUCAACUGACGAUGUCCUGGCCCACCAUCUAAUGACUUGACUGUCAUACAGAUACUUCUACAGACCACUUAAUGAUGUAGUUACACUUGGGAGGAGUAAAGAUUAUGAAUGUGUUUUGGAGAGGAUACAUCUAAUGGUGAAUCAGGUUCCGAUCUCUCUUGAAUGCUUGGUUGCCUUUACGCUUGUUGUUUUUUUUUUGCUAAUCAAAAGCUACUGAAUCCACACAAGAUGGGUCAGUAAUAGUCACAUACCCUGCAUUUGUGUCAGUAAGGAAGAUUUUCUUCUCUUUUGUUUUUCUUCAUAAAAUUAAAUCAGCUAAAAUAUUUGUUUAAAAUUUUAAGUUUUUUUACCAUCAUUGAACCAAUAAAACUUGUCACGUCAUUUCAUCUACUAGACAGAA